rnacentral:rRNA from 1 species
UACGUAGGUGGCAAGCGUUGUCCGGAUUUACUGGGCGUAAAGGAUGCGUAGGCGGACAUUUUAAGUCAGAUGUGAAAUACCCGAGCUUAACUUGGGUGCUGCAUUUGAAACUGGGUGUCUAGAGUGCAGGAGAGGUAAGUGGAAUUCCGUAGUGUAGCGGUGAAAUGCGUAGAGAUUAGGAAGAACACCAGUGGCGAAGGCGACUUACUGGACUGUAACUGACGCUGAGGCAUGAAAGCGUGGGGAGCAAACAGG